rnacentral:rRNA from 1 species
UACGAAGGGUGCAAGCGUUACUCAGAAUUACUGGGCGUAAAGCGUGCGUAGGUGGUUCGUUAAGUCUGAUGUGAAAGCCCUGGGCUCAACCUGGGAAUGGCAUUGGAAACUGGCGACCUAGAGUGCGGUAGAGGGUAGUGGAAUUCCCGGUGUAGCAGUGAAAUGCGUAGAGAUCGGGAGGAACAUCUGUGGCGAAGGCGACUGCCUGGACCAGCACUGACACUGAGGCACGAAAGCGUGGGGAUCAAACAGG